UGCCCGCUGGUGCAGGGCCGGACUUUAAUAGGCCCAUCACUUGCCCUUCUAAUUUGGACUGGACCGGUGGAGGAUGGUUUUUGGGUUGGAGGGCAAGUUUAGGGCCCGGACCCUUGCCUUGCACCGACAGGUGGACCGUGGAAAGAGAGAGAUGGAGGUGGAGGGAGAGCCAGCGAAUGGGGAAAGCAACGGGGAAAUUCUGGGGCCUUGCUUGACCAGCCACAUUAGACGAAGGUAGCGCAGAGAGCCAGAGAUACUACCUGUCACGGAGAACGGUGCUGGAGAUGCUGAGGGACAGAGGCUAUUCUGUUCCCGCCUCUGAAAUCGACCUCUCUCUCCAAGACUUCCGCUUCCUCCACGGCCCCACUCCCUAUAUCGGGCGCCUCCGCUUCUCCACCACUCAUUGCACCGACCCUUCUGACAGGUUUUCUUGUGGCAAUGGGGGAUAUAUCGUUGAGGAAGACGGGUGUGGAGGAGAAGAGGGCUAAAGUGCAAAAAGAGUCUAAUGUUCUUCUUGAUUAUACUCGAAAGGCGAUAUCCAGGUUAACUUAUUUGAAAAGAACACUUGCCCAACUAGAAGAUGAUGGAAGCCAGAGCAUGUUGAGCAUUGGAAGAACAAUUUGGUUUUGAUGCUUGGCAAUGAGAAACAAUACAAUCAAGAGACCGUCCGUUUCAAGGAUACUCUUAGUCGUGUGGGCUACACCCCAGAAUCAAAUAGACACAAAGCCACAAACCUCAGGCCAGUGAGCAGCCCGGCUUGCAGCCAAGCCCAAAUGUAUUGAUUUUAGCUGAGAAGCCUGGCCCUCGGUCAAGCCCAAAUUUUUAAAUUACAAUUUUGCCCAUACAAAAUAAUAGUUCGAUGGUGGGGAUGGUGUAUCGGGAGGGACAAUUUUGUCCUUUCGGUUUUGGGCCAGAUAAGGGGUAACCGGGUACGUUUCAUUUGUUGUCGUUGAAUGAGGGUUUCGGGGAUGAAGGCUCUGUGAGAGAGAGAGAGAGAGAGAGAGAGAGAGAGAGAGAGAGAGAUGGCGAUGGAAGGAGAGCAAGGGGGAGGGGAAUGGUUCUCGGCACUGUUGCUGCAGGUGGAUUUCACAAGUGGGAGAGUGGGUAUGGUCAGAGAAGACCAUAUGGGUCGUUAGGAUUUCAGGGAAACGGGUAGGGGUCAUGAACGAACCCUGCUAAGAGUGGGUGCCGGAUCUUGCGCUGCAUGCCUCAAAUCAAAGAUAGUUCUUUUUUUUUUUAUUGUACAUUCACCUCUCCCAGACCCUGCGUAAAGCGGGAGCCUUGUGCACUAGGUACGACCUUUUUUUUUUUUUUUUUAUUCUUUAAUGGUAGCUUAGCUUUUGGAAUUGUUUAGUAUGUUAGGUCUAGUUUUGGGGGAUUUAUCAUUUUAGAGAGAGAGAUGGACAAGGAGAUAGAGAUAGAUAGAGAGAGAGGAGAAAGCAUGGAUGUGUGCAUUUUUGGGUGUUAAUUAAUGGGUUGGUGCACAGGUUGAGUGAUCGAGUGACGGAGGGACGUGUGGGAGGGUAUGGGUUGUCAGUUCUUUCUUCUGAUUCAACAAGUUAUAAACUGUUUGAAAAACCUUUUUUAUUGUUUUGUUCUUAAAACCAUCAUUUGAAUUUUUGGGUUUCAUUGUGCUCAUUUCUCUGCUUCUUCAUAAUUUGAUGGUGUUUGCUUCUCAUCCCUCUGUUGGUAGAUAUUUUUCUCAUUUCUUGGUUCCUUAUGUAUUCCUUGGUACAAAUAUAUUUACAUUUUGGCUGUGUGAUAA